rnacentral:rRNA from 1 species
GAUGAACGCUGGCGGCGUGCCUAAUACAUGCAAGUCGAGCGAACGGACGAGAAGCUUGCUUCUCUGAUGUUAGCGGCGGACGGGUGAGUAACACGUGGAUAACCUACCUAUAAGACUGGGAUAACUUCGGGAAACCGGAGCUAAUACCGGAUAAUAUUUUGAACCGCAUGGUUCAAAAGUGAAAGACGGUCUUGCUGUCACUUAUAGAUGGAUCCGCGCUGCAUUAGUUAGUUGGUAAGGUAACGGCUUACCAAGGCAACGAUGCAUAGCCGACCUGAGAGGGUGAUCGGACACACUGGAACUGAGACACGGUCCAGACUCCUACGGGAGGCAGCAGUAGGGAAUAUUCCGCAAUGGGCGAAAGCCUGACGGAGCAACGCCGCGUGAGUGAUGAAGGUCUUCGGAUCGUAAAACUCUGUUAUUAGGGAAGAACAUAUGUGUAAGUAAAUGUGCACAUCUUGACGGUACCUAAUCAGAAAGCCACGGCUAACUACGUG